CCUCCAUGAGUCGGACCACUGUCAACGGCUGCAGCCCGUGAACGUUGGUUUGGUCGUGUUUUGUCAACUGCGGAUGUGACGUCAGACAAGGAUGUGAAAGUCACAGACUCACACAUCUGUCACACCGGUCUCAGGACGAUGUGGACGCUCGCUGCAGUAAAUACACAACAAGGAGCCAACCCAUAAGCAAACUGGUGAGAAAUUCCCAGACAAUCUCCAAGGUGAAGAAGUCAACUGUUCUGGUGAAAAAUGACACCUUUAGGAAGUAGGGGUCACCCGAUGGCCGUGCACUUCCCUUAUGCGGCCCAUUUAUCUCCAGACUGGACGAGAGUUGAAAACAGAUCAAACGGGGACCAGUUUGACCCGGAGGAAGAAGAUGUAGUCCACUGGUUGUUGACACUUCUGAGAAAAUGACAAUAACAUACAACCUGGGAGUAGUUGUAGGUCAUCACAUCGUUCAAGAGGUUUCUGCAUCCCAGAACACCCAGGAAGUCACAAACUAUAUAAAAGAUGAGAAAGUAUCCCAGAAUUCAUUAAAUAAAAAGACUCAAGUGUUUUUUAUGCAUGUGUAUGUGAAAAUAUUAUUUAUUUGAGGCCACUUAUAAAUCCUUAAAAAGCUACGGAAAGUCUUAAAAGGUUUGUUUUGGCAACCUGUACUCCUGAAGCAAAGAUUGUUAUGUCCAGCAGCCUGGGGGGAAGUUGGCGCUCCUUCUUGCGCCCUAAAUGUUGCUGUUUGCUGAGAGAAUUAACACAAAGUAUCAAAGUCCACUUUGGUCUGGCAGAACCGGGACAAACAUCAAUCACACACGUUCAUCCAGGGGCUUCCUCUUCCCUGACAGGCCCACGGCACCACCACACUGCACACAUCACCACAGUUCACUGCCGUCAGAGCGUCCGGAUGUACAAUCUGUCUCAGUUUGGUUCUCGCAGAAGAUAAAACGCAAAUAAAAUACUGAUAAAGAUGCUCAUAGAAAGGCUUUGACAAAAAAAACACCACUCAAGGUGCACUUACUAGCUUUUUUCAAGAGCUUUCAACCACAUUUUAUUCUGCGAACAGAGCUGGUGAUUGAGGUAGUAUUUCAAUAAAAGAGCUUAUUUUAAUUUUUUAAAUAUUUGCUAUUUAUAGUAUUUAUAAUACUUGACCAUUUUAUUGAAUUCUAGUUGUCCCUUUUCUUAUUCUAAAGACUUACAACAGUUUUUGCUAAUAUAUUAACUAUCUUCUGUCUUAGUAUUAGUUCACAAUAAUGGGUAUUCAGUCCAGUUUUGAGAGAUAUUUUGGGCCACUGAAAUCUUAUUGUAUGUAGUAUUGUUUAUGGCUUUUUAAAGACAUCUGGCAAAAGGGGGCAGCCAGCCAUAAUCUAAUGCUAAUGGGGGGUUUGACAUGGAAAAGUUUGUGAAUUCCUGUUCUAAUGUUUCAGACUGCUAGAGAAAGAUCAAUAAAAGGAAUAGUUUGACAUUUUGGGAGAUACAUUUAUACACUUUAUUGCAGAGAGUGAAAUGAAAAGGGAUAUUUUUACGCUUUGAAAGAAACAUAAGUAAGUAGUAAGCAUAUUUAAAUACCUUUGGACAGAGGCUGGCUGUUUCCCCCUGUUUCCAGUCUUUAUGCUACAGACAUGAGAGUGGUAUCAAUCUGCACAACUAACUCUCGGCAAUUGAAUGUAUUUUCCCCAAAUGUCAAACUUUUUUUUUGUCCUUGCUAUCCUGCUAUUCCCUUUUUUGUACAACCACAUUAUUUUAAUCAGUCCUUCACUCAGCUUAGUAAAGACAUUUGUGAGGAGAAUGUUACAUAAAGAAGACUUAAAAUGUGCCCUAUUAAACCACAAUUAUCAAUGAAACUGUUAAAACUCUUCUGGGAUAAUGUUGAAAAACUCAAUUCUAAAACCUUCCAAACACGAAUGCGUUUGCACCAAAACUUUAUGUGUCUUUUCCACUUCUCAGACGUGUGCGAGUCCCAUUCAUCUUCCUCCCCUGAACCACUGGUGGGCUCACCUCUCUGACCGCCUGUGUGUGUGUGGUAACCAUGAAAGCAUCUGAAAUAGCAAACAAACAUAAAACAGCUGUCUGGUUAAAGGAAGGAGGGAGAGGAUCCAAACCAGACUAGAGGUAAACGUUGGCGUGUUGACUCUCUGCCUCGCAUAGACCGAGCAGACAGAGACGCUCUGUUGUCAGGGCUGUUUCAGACAAAUAAGCUCAUUCCAGAGGUAACACGAUGACCCCUGUGUGUUGUUUUUUUUUUUUGGUUGGCAAUGCUGAAGGUGUAAAAAAAAACACGAUGGUGAUAACAGGGUGCAAAAAACAGAUGGGGAUGUAUUCAAGGUGUUAAAAUGAGUAGCUGUGCUCAGUCGUGGGUACAUUUUUACACUUUAUUCAGCUUUAUCUUGCAAUGAUUUGUGACUUAAAUGUGUGUUUUUAAGUAAGAAGGGUUUUGGGGUUAGGAAGUGAUCGUUACUUGACCUCAGAUAUCAGAGCGGUUUGACUGCUGGAGGAAAUUAUAACACAUUGUUAAUAGAAAUGUCAGAGUUCGACCACCCUGUUUACCUUUCUAUAUUGACACAGAAAUACAUAUUGAAACUUACAGUUAUAUGAGAGUCUGAUAUAAUGCCUCUUUUGUAUCCAGAUACAUAUUUUAGAUUUCGAUUCUUAAUACAGACUGAAACUUUACAUUCAUUUGGUCACAAGGUUUCAUAAAGAUUUACAAUGUGGGAUUUAUUAUAAUAAUAUUUUUUAUUUAAGGGAAUUUAUCAAGAGAAAUUGAUCUGAAUGAUCAGAUCUUAUCAUAAGUAAAAUGUUUUUACUUUUUAUGAUCAGAACAUUUUAAGCCACUCAAUGUAUUCACAUCCUGUCAUUGCGUCUCUAGCUUUCACUGUUUGUGGCGGACUCCGCCAUUCCCAUGCUCAUUCGAAUUGCUUUGCACAACGCAUGCGUAUAAUAUGAAAUAAUUUAAAUGAUUGUAUAUAUAUUUUGAUUUAACUUCACUUCACCAACAUUAUGUUCAGUGUUAUUUCACACACAAUAUUAUAAUAAUCACCUGGUUAAGAACUCAAAAAUAAAAACAGUAUCGCAACAAA